GGUGCAAAUGAUGUGUUUGUUAGUGACCAAAGCCUGACUUAAGUGAUUAGUCUUAACUGACUGACUGCACC
ensembl:snoRNA SNORD4B small nucleolar RNA, C/D box 4B